GGAAUAUUGGACAAUGGCCGAGAGGCUGAUCCAGCCAUGCCGCGUGCGGGAGGACGGCCCUAUGGGUUGUAAACCGCUUUUGUUGGGGUGCAAUAAGGUCUACGUGUAGACUGAUGAGAGUACCCAGCGAAUAAGCAUCGGCUAACUCCGUGCCAGCAGCCGCGGUAAUACGGAGGAUGCGAGCGUUAUCCGGAUUUAUUGGGUUUAAAGGGUGCGUAGGCGGAAGGUUAAGCGUGAGGUGAAAUGCUGCUGCUCAACAGCAGAACUGCCUCGCGAACUGGGUGCCUUGAAUGUCCGUGCCGUGGGAGGAAUGUGUGGUGUAGCGGUGAAAUGCAUAGAGAUCACACAGAACACCGAUUGCGAAGGCAUCUCACGAACGGAUGAUUGACGCUGAGGCACGAAAGCGUGGGGAUCAAACA
rnacentral:rRNA from 1 species